GACGUAGGGUCCAAGCGUUGUCCGGAUUUACUGGGCGUAAAGCGCGCGUAGGCGGUCUGUUAAGUGCACAAGUGAAAGCUCCGGGCUCAACUCGGAAAUUGCUUUGCAUACUGGCAGGCUGGAGGGACGCAGAGGUCUGUGGAAUUCCUGGUGUAACGGUGAAAUGUGUCGAUAUCAGGAGGAACACCCAUGGCGAAGGCAGCAGACUGGGCGUUUCCUGACGCUGAGGCGCGAAAGCGUGGGUAGCAAACAGG
rnacentral:rRNA from 1 species